rnacentral:misc_RNA from 1 species
UUGUGCUCUGUUGUCUAACCGUGCGGCCGAAACACCAGCACCAGAAGCUACCGCGGGGGAAGGAUCUAGGUUGGGGAAACCAUGUGUCGCCGCCAUUACGGCUGGGAAAACUGCCGCCACCGCGGGACCUCGCCUGGGUUGCCGUUUGGGUCAUGUGGUCUGGCCUGGGGGCUUCACAACAUUGCCUGGGAGUUGAUCAUGGUUGUUCUGGACGGAAUGGUGCUCCGUGGCUCCAUCGAUUGCUCACCGGCACUGAAGCACCACCGCGGCGCCGCUUCAUGCUGCGGGCCGGCCUCACCACAACGCCUUAGACGUGAGGUCACGAGGAUCUGCAGAAUCAUCCUGGUACCUGGAAUCUCAAGUGCCAGGUGGUUUAGAGGAGUCACGCAACGAGGAGUUUGAUUUGAUCUAGGUGGCGUCUCCCAGUUGACUUUCUAGCGCCAAGGAUGGAUUUUAGAUCCUUUUAUAUUUAUCUUUUAUUUUGUAAGACUUCCGCUAUGUAAUAAAAACUCUGAUUAUAUUGUGACAUUUAUCUCUAUACACUCUGUUAUUAUAUAUGUUGUCUUCUUUGGCG